rnacentral:lncRNA from 1 species
GUUGGCUUGACAGUUUAACAUUAGAAUCAAUACAACAGUCACGAGAAAAAGUGAUACAACAAUUACAAUUAUUAUUGUUAAUACCGGACUCCAUGUUGAACAGUCGGCGUCUGUUGGCUUAUAGUUCACGAGAAGACUGUGUUUCUUGUCCUCUGGGUAUAUGCACGCGAAGUAUUUUGGCCAGUGUGUCAGUAUUUUAGAAAUGUUUGAGGAUCGACAAUAAUCAACAAACCAUUUCUGAGCACAUGUACACCAGAAUUCAUUAUGAGAUAUAUCUAGCUUUUUCAAAGAAUGUAGUAACUGGAUCGGAAAUGAUGAUUCAUUAAUAACUCGAAUGUAAUUUCCAUCCAAAAGUAGUUGUCUCAAAGAUUUCAGAUUU